UACGUAGGUGGCAAGCGUUGUUCGGAAUUAUUGGGCGUAAAGGGCGCGUAGGCGGUUUGGUAAGUCAGCUGUGAAAGCCCGGGGCUCAACCCCGGAGGGUCGGCUGAUACUGCUAGGCUAGAGUACGGAAGAGGUAGCUGGAAUUCCCGGUGUAGCGGUGAAAUGCGUAGAUAUCAGGAGGAACACCGGUGGCGAAGGCGGGUCUCUGGGCCGAUACUGACGCUGAGGAGCGAAAGCGUGGGGAGCGAACAGG
rnacentral:rRNA from 1 species